rnacentral:lncRNA from 1 species
AAUAUUUUCCUGUUUUUGCUGGCAGAGCCACAUGCAGGUUUUAGAAUAGCUUUCAACAUGUUUGACACCGAUGGCAAUGAGAUGGUGGAUAAAAAGGAGUUUUUGGUGCUUCAAGAGAUAUUCAGAAAAAAAAAUGAAAAGAGAGAAACUAAAGGAGAUGAAGAAAAGCGUGCAAUGCUGCGUCUUCAACUUUAUGGAUACCAUUCUCCUACUAAUAGUGUAUGUACAAUACUUUAAAUGUUCUUUAUGUAAAUAGCCCUCACCUGUUAUACUUGAUAAUGAUUUUUUUUUGUAUAAAGCCAAAUUUACUAUUGAGAAUGUUUAGGAAUUU